ACUACCUACGGGAGGCAGCAGUGAGGAAUAUUGGUCAAUGGGCGGGAGCCUGAACCAGCUAAGCCGCGUGAGGGAAGAAGGUACAGCGUAUCGUAAACCUCUUUUGCCGGGGAGCAAGGGCGGGGACGUGUCCCGGCCCGGAGAGUACCCGGAGAAAAAGCAUCGGCUAACUCCGUGCCAGCAGCCGCGGUAAUACGGAGGAUGCGAGCGUUAUCCGGAUUUAUUGGGUUUAAAGGGUGCGUAGGCGGGCUUUUAAGUCAGCGGUAAAAAUUCGGGGCUCAACCCCGUCCGGCCGUUGAAACUGG
rnacentral:rRNA from 1 species